rnacentral:rRNA from 1 species
GAUGAACGCUGGCGGCGUGCCUAAUACAUGCAAGUCGAGCGAACGGACGAGAAGCUUGCUUCUCUGAUGUUAGCGGCGGACGGGUGAGUAACACGUGGAUAACCUACCUAUAAGACUGGGACAACUUCGGGAAACCGGAGCUAAUACCGGAUAAUAUUUUGAACCGCAUGGUUCAAAAGUGAAAGACGGUCUUGCUGUCACUUAUAGAUGGAUCCGCGCUGCAUUAGCUAGUUGGUAAGGUAACGGCUUACCAAGGCAACGAUGCAUAGCCGACCUGAGAGGGUGAUCGGACACACUGGAACUGAGACACGGUCCAGACUCCUACGGGAGGCAGCAGUAGGGAAUCUUCCGCAAUGGGCGAAAGCCUGACGGAGCAACGCCGCGUGAGUGAUGAAGGUCUUCGGAUCGUAAAACUCUGUUAUUAGGGAAGAACAUAUGUGUAAGUAACUGUGCACAUCUUGACGGUACCUAAUCAGAAAGCCACGGCUAACUACGUG